UAUGAAGUUAAUUUCAUGGCAAAUUAAAAUAUUUCUUCAUGUGUACAACGGCUGUAAUGAAUUCAUCGGCUUUGUGUCUCUCGCCUAACUUACCACACAGGACAAUAGCUAACAAUAUUAGACCGUGUAUUGUGCGUUUACACUCCUUCGCAGCAAUUACAUAUUCUUUUGUUUUUCUACAAACCAUUCAACAAGGCCUUGGCAACACAUUGAAACAGUAAUUUCUUCCACACAAAUAUUCAUUUGUUUCUAUGUUUGUCUUCAAACUCGGCCAAAUAUAUAAGGUAGGACAUUUUUCAUGUCAGUCAGUGCGAAUUGAAUAGUGUCAAACUGAACAAGUGAAAUAAGUAUUCACAACAAAACUUACAAAAUGUCGAAGUCAAUUUUGAUCACAGUCCUGGCACUCGUAGCGUCUGUGUGUGCUAAGCCAUACGUAUACAGCUACAACUAUGGUACACUGCCAUACACGUCACUGCCCUACUCCCGAGCAGCAUACACUACUGCAGAUUUGUACAACCCUGCAGUAGCUCCACUGACUGCAGCCGCCGUCGCUCCAUUAUCUGCAGCUGCCGUCGCUCCAUUGUCUGCAGCUGCCGUCGCUCCAUUGCCGGCAUCAUACCCUGCAUACUCUGCAGCUUACGGAGCCUACUCUGCACCCUCACUCUCCCAGCAAUAUCAGCUUAUGGCUCCUCCUAUAGCGUUGAAGAGUUAGCGUCCUUAAUCAAUCCUGCUACAGUCUACGCAUCUCCUUACAAUUAUUUGUACAAAUGAUAAGUUCUUAAACAAACGACUAUCGACUUGUGAUUUUUUAUUGAGAUGAUUGUUUUAUAGCGUUCCGUUGAUAUCGAUUUGAUUUUGUUAUAUUAUUAUAAGUUGAGCUUUUAA